GGGGUUGUGGCUCAGCGGUAGAGCACUUGCCUAGCAUGUGUGAGGCCCUGGGUUCAAUCCUCAGCACCA
rfam:Ictidomys tridecemlineatus contig145739, whole genome shotgun sequence.